AGUCAGUCCAUCGCUUGCACAGAGGUGUUUCCCCUGGAACAAUCUAACUCCAGGCAUUAACAUUUCAACGCAUCCCUGCCAGCCUGCAGGAGCUAGGCUCUAAUUAAUCCAGAGACAGAAAAGUGGUGGCGAAAAAAAAGGAAGAAAAAAAAAAACAGGACUCGACCCAUUUUUUCCGGUCUAAAUUUAAAACGAAAAAGCACCAAGAGCAGCACGCUUCCAGACUCUACUUAAGGGCGUACUAACAUAAAUCGGGGAUGGAAGAGAAAGCUCAAAACAUGGAAACGGAUUAUUAAGAAAACGAUGUGGAAAUAAAGAAGAAUCAUGA